GACCAAUAUAAAUCUGGGAAAUUAAGAUUUAUCUGUAUUUAUUCAGGAUUUGGAAUUUAGUCAGUUUGCUUUCUUGCUGAGUCAGAAGAUUGAUACGUCUCAUUGCUGUAUGGUGAAGAUAAAGCUACAGUCCAAUAGGACCGGUUCUAGGCAGGCACAUAUGAGGGGCCAGUCAGAAACGUGAAGGCACAUCAUGCUACAGCAGCAAUUUUCUGGGGGAGUAUUUUACACAUUUUGUGGAGGGCACUUUUGCCUAUGACAGUGUUUUCUCCAUGGAAUUGCGUUAUUAGCUAUGUAUCCAACCCCCAACCUUGAGAAGUGGAUUGCACUUUGUCAGGCCUUUUUUGGCCUAAUUUUGACCUUAACCAUAGCCAUUUACUUACUUUAUUUACAAAAUUGAAAGUUAGUCAUAUAUAUAUAUAUAUAUAUAUAUAUAUAUAGAGGCCUUAGGCGCUGGGAGAAGAGUCAGUAGGCUGUUCCCCUGUCCGGUGAACAAAUAUAGAUAUAUAUAUAUAUAUAUAUAUAUAUAUAUGAUUUAUUUACUUUUUAUUUUUGUUAAUUACUGUUAAUUGUCUCGCUACGACGAAUUUGAUGGUGCUUCGCCGCUUCCUCCAGGCCUUACCGUUAAACUUGACUGUGUUGUGUUGCCUCUCCUCACUGAAAUCUGGCACUCUACGCGCAGCAGACGCUGUGUGAUGUGUAAAAUUAAAGGUAAAACUGAGCCUUCAUUUACACACAGUAUAUUUUGAUUUUGUGGUUUAGCGUUGCAUUUAUCAGUCAUUUGUCAAAGGUAUUUUUUAUUAACUGACACUGUAGGCGAUUUUUCAUAACUCCCACCAGUUUUCUUCGGGGUAUUUUAAAUUCGUGAAAUUUAAAUUAUGUUUUCUGUGCAGUGUCUUAUCCUUUCAUAUACAGUCUAUGGUGACUUACGUUCAUUAAACCUGUCAUCCGUUCACAUUUAUUUCCUAAUUAAAUGCUGUAACUGUCUUUGUGUGGUAAAUCCUCGUCAUGUAGAAGAUCAUGGAGCUGGUCGCGGUGAUGAAGAGGGACCUGCAGUACCUCCACCUAAAGUUCCCGGGAAUACUGAUCAUCCACUGAAGGAUUGUUAAAUAAAUCGAGUAUAAAGUAUAUUUGAGACUCUUUAACCAACUAUCAGGAGCAAUAAAGCUGCUGUAAUUGACUACAGUAUACAUAUAUAUUAAAGGGGACAGUUUUUUGUCCACUUUGUCAGAAAACAGUCACAAAUAAAGUGUUCACUUUCAGAUUUCGUGCACUGAUUAUGCGUCUGGCCCACGUCUGUCCGCCAAAUACAUCUAAACUCUCUCUCCGUCUUUACCAUAGACCGUACAGUCUUCGACGGCCAAUCAGCGUCUGUCUGCCAAUGUUAGGUAUGUACGUAUGUCGUCACUGGUCACGACGUCUCUUGUCAUUGGCCACAACUUUCAGGGAGGAGCGCAGAGAGGCGGAGAAACGAAGUAAGCAAACGGAUUUAAACCUCGUUGAACCGUUGCUCUUGUUUGCUAGUACUGUGGGGAAACGUUGUUACCGAAGAGGUCUGGAUGCUAAAACAAACUCUGGAGCUGCUUUAGUGUCGUUAAUGAAGAGGUCUGGAUGUUAAAAUAAACCCUGGAGUUGUUUUUUGUCAAACACGAGUGAGACUGGACGCUGAACGAACCUGCGGCGCGUAGGUUUAUCCAUUCAGCUGCUGCAGCCUGGACAGAAACACCAGCUCUCACCUUACAAACCAAACAGGUGUCACCACUUUGUCCAUCAUCACAGAGAGUCUUCCUACAAUGAAGAAGUUCUUUGAAACCAGGACUGAGGCCUCCAGGAUUCAAACUUCAACCAUUAAAGCACACAGAGAAGAGACAGACGUGAAGACAUUUCCAGAAGGUCUUCAGCUGCUGUCGUCUUCUCCUCCUGCAGAGACAAGAACACGUUACAUCACAGAAACUGAUCAGUAAAUCAAAGUAUUUUGUGACAAAUUUUCUUCUCCACAGAGAUACAGAAUGUUUGUGAGUUGACUUAGAUUUUGUGUUUGAAAUAGCAAAAUACCAAAAUGAAACGACAAACAGUGCAAUAUCAGUACUCCAAUCCAAUCUAUAACUUUGUACAUAGUUCUGUUAAUUAUACACAAUAUGAACAGUAUUUUUAUAUAUUAUCUUGUUUUAUAAUGCCCUUUUCUGUUUUUGCUGUUGCAACACUGAAUUUCCCUGUUGUGGAACUGAUAAAGGAUUAUCUUACUCAAAUAAAUACUUCUGAACACAUUUCA